rnacentral:lncRNA from 1 species
UUGUUUUUAUAAAAUAAAUUUUUGGAGAAAUACAUUUUAUUUUUUAAAAAACUCUAGCCCACCGAAGAAAAAAAUGAUGAUAGCUUCGCCACUUCCGACUCCUGAUAAAUUGUUAUUAUUUAAGAAAAUUUGAAAUAAUGACGAAAGGUUUCCCAGAGUGGAAGGAAUUUCCCCUGACAAAUGGUUGCCACUAAAAUCCAAGCCCUGUAAUUUUAGAAGUUUACCCAGUUCUUUAGGAAUUGCUCCUGUAAAUUGGUUUUCCUCCAUCUCUAAUAAAUAUAAGUCAACAAGGUUCCCUAUUCCUGAAGGGAUGCUUCCAUAUAACUGAUUAUCACUAAGGGCCAAAAUUUGAAGUUGAUUUGACAUAUUAGCUAUUGAAUGAGGCAAUGCUCCUCUAAAUUGAUUUCCACCUAAACGGAGAACUCGCAAUUUGCUACAGUUGGCCAAAGAAUUCAUAAACCCCAUCUCAUCACUUUCCCCACUUCCUAAAUUACUAGAAUAUAAAUUUAAGAAUGAAAGAUUCUUCAUGCUCCCAAAAUUGACUGAAAGUUUUCCGGAAAAAUUGUUUUUCCCAAUUUGAAAAACUUCAAGUUUUGAAGCAUUUGAUAGAGAUGUUGGAAUUGAUCCGCUGAAGAAGUUUUGGUCGAUUUGGAAGUAUUUGAGAUUCGGAAAAGUAAGGCCUAAACUUGUUGGAAGGCUUCCAUGAAGUUGAUUUUGAGGCACCGAAAAUAUUUCAACGAAGGAAAGAUUGUAAAUGGAAUGCGGGAUUGUACCGGAGAGGUUGUUUCCGCCAAUUCCAAGAGCUUCCAACUCUUUCAAUUGACCCAAUGAAUCUGGAAUAUUUCCUCCAAAAGAAUUCGCACCUAGAGACAAAAGUUCCAGGGACGAUAGAUUCCCAAGAAAAGGUGGGAUUCCUCCUGUCAAACUGUUUCUGUGUAAAGCUAGUCUUUUGAGUUUGUAUAGCGAGACAAACUCAAAUGGAAUUCUUCCUACUAACUUGUUGUAUGGUAAGGCUAGUACUGUGAGCCUGGAACAAUAAGACAAGUUGGCUGGAAUUUUCCCAGCCAGGGAGUUAUUUGAAAGAAACAGAGCUUCUAACCUGAGCAGACGCCCAAAUUCACGAGGGAUUUCACCUUGGAUUGUGUUAUUCUCAAGGUUGAUCUCUCUUAGGAAACUGAGGUUGCCAAUGUAAGGAGACAACGAGCCACGCAAGGCUUUUGACCUCAUGUUUAGGGCUGUGACUCUUCUGUGCCUGCGACCACAUGUAAUGCCCUCCCAUUCGCAGAAAUGGCGAGAAUCAUUCCAUGAGUUGAGGAUUCCUUGAGGGUCAUGAGAAAUCAUUGACUUAAAGGCCUGCAAGGCAGCACGAUCUCCCUCUUCAAAGGCUGCAACUUGCAACAGUGUGAUGAAAAAAAGAAGCAUGUAUGGAAAAUAAAGAGAGUGGGUAUUCAUUUCUACAAGUGAGAAGGUAAUUUCCUUGGCUUGCCUUUAUAUGUGAGCAAUGAGCAUAUAAUAUAUAUAUAUAUAUAUAUAUAAAUUUUAUUCUUAAUUAUAUAAUUGUUAGUUAUUUUAAUUAGUUAUUUUAAUUAAUUAAAUUAUUUUAUUAAAUAGGGAAUUAAUUGAAGAUUAUGGAUAAAAAGGACAUGAAGAAGUUGGAAGCAUAAAGAUUAAUUGAUUUUGGAAGUAAUUAGAAAUACAUGCAUGUGAAUUAAUUCAUCCAUGCUCAUGAAGACAAAGAAGAUUAUGGCCAUCACGUGAAGAUUAUGCACAUGAAGACAAAGAAGAUUAUGGCCAUCACGUGGAAUAAAAAUCUUAAAAGAUUUAACUAUAGAGGCGGCUGCUUGGCUUACUACAAUUAUAAUUGAAGUUAGAGAAGAAUUCGGUCAACUUGCAUUAUCAAAAGAGAAUUCGGUCAAUUAUAAAGAGAAGCCGCAAGAGGAAGCAAGAGCCGCGAAACAGAGCUCCAAUACUCCCAUGGUUAAUUUUUAUUAAUUUUGUUUCUCUAAUUCAAGUAUGUCUAACUAAUUUUUUUAUAUUGAGGUUAAGAAUGAAAUACUAUUCAAUGAAAUAAUUAUAUUUUUAUUUAAUUAAUUCCCUAUAUAUAUUCUUUGAUAAUUAUGAUUUUUGUUUCACAUGAUUAGUUAGAUGUUAUUAAAUAUUUUCACCAAUUCUGUCAUGCAUUAAUGAUUGUUAAGAUUAAUAUCUGACUAAAUUUAUGCUUGGAUCUAUAAAAUUUAUAUAUGAUUAUAUUUGAUUCUGUGUCUUUCAUUAAAUUAUUUACACAGAGUGCUUAUGAAAACUUUGACUCUUUGUUAUUCAAUAUAUUUACAUGAGAUUCUUAGAUAUCAUACUAUUAAGCAGAAAAAGAACUUACACAAGAUUAAUUUUAUUUGGACUUAAUUGUUAUAUCCAUGAGAUGACAUAGAUUGAUUUCGAGUUGUCACUAUAAAAUUUGGGAUUAAUUAAUAAUUAGAUAAUUACUAGUUGAAUAGUGGUUGAUUCUGAAACCUUAGUAAUUUUUACCUUAUUGAAUUCUCCUUUACUUUAAUUAUUUUCUUAGUUUAAUUAGUUUAAUUUCUCUUAAAACUCAAUUUGCUCAACUAUGUUAAGAUUAAUAUUAAUUUUAAAUUUAAAUUAGAUUUUUCAAUUUAUAACAAUCCCUGUGGGUUCGACUUCGUUACCAUUAUUCUAUUUUUAGAUUUAUACACUUACUAGUAUAUUAAAAUUUUACACAACAGUGAGCUUCUCCUAGCUUUGAAAGUAGGACAAGUUUAGACUUAAAACAAGGAAGUCACCUCUCUUCUUUUUUUUUUUUUUUUUUAACCCUUAAUUUAAACUAGACUUGACUUAGACCUUUUCAAUUUGGUUGCAUUCGCGGAAAUUGCAAGGUCAAAAAUGGCGUUGCUAUUGAUGCUUACUGGCUGAAAGAAUAUGUCGGCUUGAUUUUAAGUUUUUGUGCCAUGACAUAUCACACCGUCAAAGAAUGUGUGCGCUGGAUUUUAAGCGUUUGUGCGAUGAUAUCUUACUGUUGAGUACAUAAAAGUACCAGGUCGGCCACGCUACCAUUCCGCACGGAUCGCCUCGGCCAAAGUGAUAUGAGCAGAACACUGAGGCUAACAUGAGCCGACCAGAGAUGAGUACUGACCAGAGGUAUAAGCAGAGCCAGUACUCGUCCCCCAAACAAAAGGCGAAAACACGAUCUCACAGAAUCACGGCAGUUGUGCUUUCCCAGAACCGUGACGGAAGACGCAAGAUCCCACGUUUGCCCAUAAUGCAGCAGUCAGAGUCCCAUACUGUCCCCCAAAAGGCGGAACACGCAAGAUCCCACGUUUGCCCAUAAUGCAGCAGUCAGAGCCCCAUACCGUCCCCCAAAAAGCGGAAAACUGGGAUUCAGAGGAAGCCUAUAAAAAGGUAGCCAACGAAGGUAAAAGGGUUAGCGAUUUUGAGAUAAAAAGAAAGAUUAAGGAAAUCCUAGAGAAAGGAAACCGACCCAAAAAGCCAUAAGAGUUGUGGCAAGUGUUCCCCAAACCUUGAUAUCUGACUUGGGCGUCGGAGGGUUUGCGCCGGGAAAACAACCGGCGUACUCUGACUUGUCUGUGUGCGCAGGAACCUCAGGAAAAGAAGCCUUACGAGGAGACCUCCCGGUAGUGGUGAAGUUGAUCGAGCAGAGAUCCUGGUCGUAUAAGGAGACCUCCUGGUCGUGGUGAAGUUGAUCGAGCAGAGAUCCUGGUCGUAGAAUGAGGAGAACCAGAAUCCCGCAUCAACAUUUUGGCGCCGUCUGUGGGGAGUUGAAUAAAAAGCUACCACCAAAUCAGUAAGUACCGGAGAAGCAGCGAACGAUCGGAUAUGGAUUCGUCAAGAAAGGAUACUUUAAGGGAGAGCAAUGAAACAGUGGAGACAAUCACUCUCCGGGAGAUUGCAAGUGAAGCCCGGGAGAGGAUGAUGCAAGAUAGACUGGAGCGGAUGGAGAAGCAAAUGGAGACUCUCGCGGCCGUGUUGUUUGAGCUGAGGGACGAGCGGAGAAGGGAUUGUGGAACCCCCGGGGAAAGAGAUGGAGUUGGAGCAGAGCCCAGCCUCCGGGGGCGUAGGGUCGGGGACAUCCCUCCGCCCGCAGACCAACCUAACAGAGUGCAUACCCACCGAAGUACUGGUCGGGUCCCAGGGGAACACGUGGACGAAGGGAGAGACCAACCUCGCCCCGGACGGGUACCGGAAAUAAAUAGCCGAGGGGCCAGUGUUGAUGAAGGAGAGCUCAGACAGCGGUUGCAGAACGUCGAGCAUGAGAGAGACCAGAUAGCUGCACGUGAUCCUGAUCGUGCUAUAGAGUUGGAGGGGGAGGUGCGCAGAUUGGCGCAGGUGAUAGAGGAGAUGCAGGGCAAGAGAAAGCCCCCAAGCUGGAGGAUAAUGCUAGAUGAAGAAUCUCCGUUGUCAACAGAGAUCAUGAGUACCAUAAUCCCAAGAGAUUUCCGCUUCCCCGACCUCAAAUACUCCGGGCGAAGUGACCCGUUGGUACACAUUGAGCGCUUCAACGACAUGACGGGUGUGCAGGAGCUGACAUCAGCUCAGAGGUGCAGGGUGCUCCCGUUGACACUAGAGGGACGAGCCCGAGAAUGGUAUCGCAAGCUGCCCCGAGGAGGAAUAAAGGGGUAUGAGCAAAUGUGCCAGGAGUUGGCCGAGCAGUUCCGGGGGGCAGUGGCCCCAGAGGAUGACAUGAUAGAGUUGAUGGGGAUGAAGCAGGAGGAGCAGGAAUCCCUUCGAGAUUUCGUAAAAUGAUAUCACCGAGCCGUGCUAGAUUUGGGAGCUUUUAAUCACCCGCAGGCAUUGAAGGGAUUAAAAGAGGGUGUAAGAAUCGGCCGGUUGUGGUAUAACUUAAGAAGCCCCCUCGUACAGAAUUACUCGUCGGGGUAUGAGCAGGCGAGACGGGAUAUAGAAAUCGAAGAGGAGAAAUUAGCAAGAAUUAAAAAUGAACAGCUGGAGGAGCUGAGGCGAAGGGAACGGAGAGCCCCGAAAAUGAGCGGGUCGGGAAAGCGAACUGGGGAAUCCUCAGGGAUGGGCGGAGCAUCAGUUCGAUCUCGCCCUUACCCCCUAGCUCAGAGAGCACAACAGUUCCAACACAGCCGGGCACAACCUCCGCGCCCCCCGAUACCAGAGCAGCAGCGAGAAUUCAGGCAGAUGACAGCCCGCCCUUAUCACCGCACUCCCAGAGCGGUAAAUGCGAUGAACCACAGGUCUGGCCGACCAGAGCAGGUACCGGCUAUAUCAGCCCGAGGUGACAUCCAGGAUAGCCGUGCAGUUCAGUUGGUUGACCAGAGUGCGGCAUAUAGACAAUAUACUCCAUUAAAAAUCUCCAUGGAGGAACUGUAUGAAAGGAUCGAGGGACGAGGACUGUUGUAUACUCCGGCCCCUCUAACGAAACCCGCUCACCGGCGUGAUAAGAACAGGUUCUGCAAAUUCCACAACACUCAUGGUCAUACCAUCAGCCAAUGCCGCGACCUAAGGAUUCAGGUGGAGGAUUUGGUGAGGAACCAGUACUUGGGUGAGUACAUAGAUGGAGUGUCCCCCGUCAGUGAGUCGCAAUAUGCACGGGAUGAAGGAGUUGAAAGGGGUUUGGAACGAGAACAACCGACUAUCCAGGUGAUAGCAGGAGGGCCCACAUUGGCCGGGGAUUCAAACAGAGCGCGAAAAAAACUAUGGGAGAUAUGCCAUGACUGGCAAGGAAGUGCUUCUCAAUUUGCCAGCAGCCAAGAAGGCAAAAGUGCGGCAAGUUCCUAUCCUGUGGGCAGAGGAUGACGAAGAGGGCAUUUUGUACCCUCACGAGGAUGCACUGGUGAUCAAAGCAAUGGUAGCCAGUAUAGAAUUGCGGCGAAUACUGGUAGACACGGGCAGCUCAGUAGACAUUCUGUUUAAGUCGGCCCUAGAUGAUAUGGGAAUUUCAGAUUUAAAGCUGGAGCGGACAAACACUUCCUUGAAAGGAUUUGGAGGGGGGCGGUUAACUCCCUUGGGGGUCAUUGAACUCCCGAUUACUGUGGGGACAAAGCCGUUUGAACGAACGAUGAUGUUGGACUUUGUCGUGGUAGAGGAAAGAAGCCCUUACCAGAUGAUACUGGGGAGACCAUUCAUGAGGAUAAGCCAAUGUGUAAUGUCCACGCAUUAUCUGGCGCUAAAGUAUAGAAUAAAUGGAGUUGUGGGCGUGGUAAAGGGCGACCAGAGAAUGGCCAGGAGCUGCUAUGCUACAGCGGCCAAGGAAACGCUGCAGGUUACCUCUCUAGAUAACCGAGGGGAUUCAAAAAAUGGUCGUCAGGAACCUGUUGAGAAGCUGGAGGAAGUUGUUAUAAGCAGGAGUGACCCUAGCAGAGUUGUUAAGGUCGGGUCGGAAUUGGGCGAAGCAAUAAAGGCCGAGCUGGUGAAGUGUCUGCAGUCCCAUGCGGACGUAUUUGCCUGGUCUCAUGAGGAUAUGCCAGGUAUUGACCGCGGGAUAGCUUGUCACAAGCUGGCGGUCAAAAGAGGGGCAAGGCCGGUGAGGCAGAAAAGGAGGUGCUUCAACCAUGAAAGGUACGAGGCCAUAAAUGCCGAAGUGGAAAAGCUGCUAAAAGCAGGAUUUAUAAGGGAAGCCAAGUACCCGGAAUGGAUUUCCAAUGUGGUACUGGUAAAGAAGGCCAAUGGGAAGUGGAGAAUGUGUGUAGACUUCACGGACCUCAAUAAGGCAUGCCCGAAGGACAGCUUUCCCCUACCAAAAAUAGAUCAGUUGGUGGACUCAACCGCGGGUCAUGGUCUGCUCAGCUUCAUGGACGCCUUCUCCGGAUACAACCAGAUACCCAUGAACGAGCAGGACGAGGAAAACACUACCUUUAUAACUAACAUGGGUCUGUUUUGUUACAGGAUGAUGCCCUUUGGCCUGAAAAAUGCAGGAGCUACAUAUCAAAGGUUAGUGAACAAGAUCUUCAAACCAUUGAUCGGUCACACCAUGGAAGUAUAUGUGGACGAUAUGAUCACCAAGUCAAGAGAACCGAGAGAUCAUGUAAAGCACCUGGAGGAGACUUUCGAAUUGCUGAGGAAGUACGAAAUGAAGCUGAACCCGGAGAAGUGUGCAUUUGGGGUCGGCUCGGGUAAAUUUUUGGGAUACCUGGUAAGCCAUCGGGGUAUUGAAGCCAACCCAGAAAAAAUACGGGCGGUAAUAGAAAUGAGGUCCCCACGAACAGUUAAGGAGGUGCAGAGCCUUACGGGGAAAUUGGCAGCAUUAAACCGAUUCAUUUCGCGAGCCACUGAUAAGUGCCACCCUUUCUUCCAAGUCAUAAAGAAAGGGAAGAAGAUGGAAUGGACACCGGAAUGCGAGGGGGCAUUUGGACAGCUGAAGGAAUACCUAGCCUGCGCCCCGUUACUAUCGACUCCGAGAGAGGGUGACCAGUUGUUGCUAUACUUAGCAAUCUCUAAGUGGGCUACCAGCUCGGUAUUGGUCAGGGAAGAAGAAGGAAAGCAACACCCGGUAUACUACACGAGCAAGGCUUUGGUAGAGGCGGAAACCAGAUAUCCGCUAAUGGAGAAGUGGGCUCUGGCUUUGAUAACGGCAGCACGCAAGCUCCGACCAUACUUCCAAGCCCACCAGAUCGUUGUGAUGACUGACCAGCCACUUCGGCAAGUGCUUCAAAAACCAGAUGCGUCUGGUCGGUUAGUAAAGUGGUCCGUGGAGCUGAGCGAAUUUGACCUGUCCUACAGGCCCCGAGGAGCAAUCAAGGCACAAGCCCUGGUAGAUUUUAUGGUGGACUGUGUUGAACCGAGGGAAGAGGUCCAAGAGGAACAACCGGCAGAGAAAGAGGAUUCAAAGGGGAUAUGGCUGGUAAUGGUUGACGGAUCACGUAGUGAGCAAGGAUCCGGUGCAGGAGUUGUAAUACGGAGCCCAGAGGGAACCGAGAUAACAUAUGCGGUGAAGUUCGAAUUUCAACUCACAAACAACCAAGCUGAGUAUGAAGCCUUUAUCGCCGGGCUCGAGCUUGCACACGCUCUAAGAGCAGAAAGGGUAGAAAUCCGAGCAGAUUCCCAAUUGGUAUAUAAUCAACUCAACGAUCAGUUCCAAGCAAGGGGAGAGAAGAUGGGUCUUUAUUUAAAAAAAGCGAAGCAGAUGGUCGGGCUUUUCCGAGAGGUGGAAGUAAAGCAGAUAUCUCGGAAUGAGAAUUACCGAGCGGAUAUGCUGGCUAGGAUGGCUGCAAUUGCAGAUCCAAAAUUGCCUAAGUCGGUUCCACUAGAGGUAAGGACCUCGCCGAGUAUAGAGGAGGAAGUAGAGGUGAUGAGAGUAAGCGCUGAAGAAUCCUGGAUGGAUCCGAUUCGCGCAUAUGUCCGCGAUGGAGUUUUACCAGAGGACAAAAGGCAAGCAAGAAAAUUAAAGUGCCGAGCCGCAAGGUAUACGCUACUGGAUGGAGUAUUGUACCGCCGAGGGUUCACCUUGCCCCUUUUGAGGUGUUUGGAUGAUGAGGAGGCGGAUUAUGUGCUGAGAGAGAUUCAUGAGGGAAUAUGCGGCAAUCACUCGGGAGCAAGAACUUUAGCCUUCAAGGCCCUCCGGCAAGGAUACUUCUGGCCAACCCUGCACCAGGAUGCCAAAAGGAUGGCAAAGAAUUGUAAAACAUGCCAAAGCUUCUCCGAGGUUCCUGCACAACCCCCGGAAAAGCUGACAGCUAUGACAUCCCCAUGGCCUUUCGCUCAGUGGGGAAUCGACUUGAUUGGUCCAUUGCCUAAGGGACGAGGAGCGGCGACACAUGCAAUUGUGGCAAUAGACUACUUCACUAAGUGGGUGGAAGUGGGAGUCCUCAGCCAGAUCACAGAGAGGAAGACGACAGAUUUUAUUUGGAAAAAUAUCAUCUGCAGAUAUGGGAUCCCCUACGCCGUCAUCACAGACAAUGGGAGGCAAUUUGACAACGGCAACUUCAGGGAAUUUUGCCGAAACCUGGGGGUGGACCUGAGGUUCUGCACCCCCGCACACCCCCAGGCAAACGGACAAGUGGAAGCAGCCAACAAGGUGAUAAAGAAGCUCCUAAAGACUAGAUUGGGAGAGAAGAAGGGAGCUUGGGUUGACGAACUACCAGGAGUACUGUGGGCCUACAGGACAACUCACAAAACCGCCACAGGAGAAACACCGUUCGCUUUAGCUUUUGGUCAUGAAGCGGUAAUCCCAGCAGAGGUUGGAGUGGGAACGCAUCGAACAGAAUAUUUCACUGAGGAGCAAAAUGACAAGCAGAUUUGCUUAAGUCUGGACCUGCUGGAGGAGAAAAGGGAAGGGGCCUCGCAGAAAGUGGCCCAAUGUCAGCAAAGGGUCAUGCGUUAUUACAACAAAAAUGUACGCGUGAGGCAGUUUCGAGCAGGGGAUUGGGUACUUAGGAAGGUGAACCAGAACACCAGGAAUCCUAACCAUGGCGCUCUCGGCCCAAAGUGGGAAGGCCCAUACCGAGUGAUACGAGCCACUGGACCAGGAGCAUACAAAUUAGCAUGCCAAGAUGGAUGAGACGUGAAGAGGUCGUGGAACGCCGAACACCUAAAGAAGUAUUUCCAGUAAGCAGAAUGCUCUCUUAAAUCCUCACUCUGACAAGUUAUUUCUGUUGCAAUGCCUGAUAACCUGUCGCACAUGCAUAUAUUCUAUGUUUUUGAAAUACAUUCGAAUUCCAAUAAAGAUGAAGUCAGCAUGAAAUCCCUCUGCUAGCAAGAUCAAUAAAAAUUCUACUAAGGCAAGUAAGUGCCUACUUCUGCUCGGUCAACGAAAGACCAGCAGCUAAAUUUAUGAAAUUUUACUAAGGCAAGUAAGUGCCUAAUUCUGCUCGGUCAACGAAAGACCAGCAGCUAAAUUUAUGAAAUUUUACUAAGGCAAGUAAGUGCCUAAUUCUGCUCGGUCAACGAAAGACCAGCAGCUAAAUCUACGAAAUUUUACUAAGGCAAGUAAGUGCCUAAUUCUGCUCGGUCAACGAAAGACCAGCAGCUAAAUCUAUGAAAUUUUACUAAGGCAAGUAAGUGCCUACUUCUGCUCGGUCAACGAGAGACAAGCAGCUAAUUCUGUAAAAAAUCUACUAAGGCAAGUAAGUGCCUGCUUCUGCUCGGUCAACAAGAGACUAGCAGCUAAUUCUACAAAAAAUCUGCUAAGGCAAGUAAGUGCCUACUUCUGCUCGGUCAACGAAAGACCAGCAGCUAAAUUUAUGAAAUUUUACUAAGGCAAGUAAGUGCCUAAUUCUGCUCGGUCAACGAAAGACCAGCAGCUAAAUCUAUGAAAUUUUACUAAGGCAAGUAGGUGCCUACUUCUGCUCGGUCAACGAAAGACCAGCAGCUAAAUUUACGAAAUUUUACUAAGGCAAGUAAGUGCCUACUUCUGCUCGGUCAACGAAAGACCAGCAGCUAAAUUUAUGAAAUUUUACUAAGGCAAGUAAGCGCCUACCUCUGCCCGGUCAACGAGAGACCAGCAGCUAAAUUUACGAAGUUUCUACUAAGGCAAGUGCCUACUUCUGUUCGGUCCACGAAAGACUAGCAGCUAAUUCUAUAAAAAUUCUGCUAAGGCAACAAGUGCCUACUUCUGCUCGGUCAAAGAAAGACCAGCAGCUAAAGCUUCGAAGAUUUUACUAAGGCAAACGGAUGCCUAUUCCUGUUCGACGCGCCAAAGAACCGACAGGCAAAACCAGACAAGAAAGCCAAUAGAGAGCAUUCAAAAUUUUUAUAAAUGUUCAAUCGUUUACAAAACAAAUGCAAAUCUAGAGUUUAUACAAAAAAUAAGGUCAAAGUUUAGCAGAGUCAGCGGCUUCAGCAGCUGAAGGAUCAGCGAGCUCGGGAAGUAAGGGAUCAGCAACAUCAGGAGGUGGGAGAUCAGCAACGCCGGGAGGAGGAGGCAUGGACCCUUGACCCACUUCGAAAGUGCGUCCCCCAGCUUCCCCCUCUUGCACCCCAUCCAAAGGGGCCUCCACCUGCUCCUACUCGCCCUGCUCCGUAUCUGAGUGGUCGACCUGCGCCAUAUACCGCUGCACUCCGGCCUCCAGUUUGCUCAUGUCCAUCUCGGGAUAUUCUGUCUUAAGCACAGACAUGAUGCACUUGUAGGAGAAGGCAACCCCAGAAUCAUACUCGGCAUCCAGCCGAUCAUCCACAUCAGCGGAUUUGCCCUUCUCCUCAGCCAGCUGCUCGCCCAAGGAUCUGAUUUCCCCCUCAAGGGCGGCCCUCAAAGUAUCCCUUUCAGCUUGAGUAGCCUGAAGAUCAGAUCUCAGGUCACCCAGCUCGCCCUCGAGUUUGGAGGAAGUGGAUUCAGCAACCGCGACUUUCUCCUCCAGCUCCGUAAUUUGCUUGCUCAGCUCGGCUAGUUUCUCCUUGGAGCGGUCAGCAGAUUCAGCUUUCUUUUUCAGCUCUUGAUUGUCAGCUUGAAGCUUCUUCUCAUGACGCACGGACCCAGUCUUGUAACACGAGACCAUUGUGGCCAAUCUGAAGGAGACUCUCUGAACAGAGGCAGCCAACUCGGAGAGGCUCAUGCUCUCGAUGUCCUUCACCAGCUUGGGCCCAACCGACUUUUUAUAAUCCUUCUGAUACGGACUUAAGUAGUCACCUUGAUCCCGAGAUGGAAGAGGAGAAGAUCGGUCCCCAGACUGCAAGCUGACCUCAGGACUCUUGUCGGAAGUUUUCUCCCCACCACUCUUACGAGAUGGAGGAGGGGGCAGAGCAGGAACAGGCGCCUUGGAAGGACCAACGCUAGGUCUCUUCGGAGGAGGAGGAAGAUUGCUGGAGCUACUCGGGCCCCGUCCACGCUUCCUGCUCAUCGCGCUGAGGAUCUUGUUAUCCAUCCCGGCAGCUAUGUCCACUAAGCCCGAGCCGACCAGACUUGUUGGUGACAGGAGGUCUUGGCAGGUAGACGCGUUCAAUAGAGCCGUUUCCACCUGAAGCAAAGGCCGAUCUUCAAGCCCCCCGACCAGACCCCACGACUCUGAAAUAGCACAAAAGGUUAAGGAACCCAAUAAGUAGCAAUCUAAUUAAGAAUAUAGGAAAAAAUGAACGACCUGGGGUGACAAACUGGGUGGGAAGAUAAAUGUCCCCACCAAGCGACCGAACCGCUGGACACCAAUUCCCUCCAGCAAAGAAGAAUUUAUUCUUCCAAUUUUUACAGGAAGAUGGAAACCCGGUGAUCGGUUUCCUCUUUGGGGAACUGGACAUGAAAUAGUACCAGCCUGCCUCCCUCGGGCUACUCCGCAGCUGGUACAGAUGUUUCACCUCAACAAGAGAAGGCUCCUCCGACCCGCACCUCUCCCACAACACAAACAUUGCCGAAAGAACCCUCCACCCAUUUGGGUGUAGCUGACCUGGGGCCAGGUGCAUACCGCCCAGUAUCUUGGCAAAGUAAGGUUGAAGGGGCAGCCGAGCUCCUAGUCUGAAACUCUCCAAGUGCAUCGUCACAUACCCUUUCGGAGGCCGACUAGGGACAUCACCUUUUCCAGGAAUUACCAGAAGAACCUCGUUGGGGAUGUUGUAAAGGUUCCUAAGUUUAAAUAGAUCAGUGGGGGUGGUGGCGCAAGCCAUGAAAUCAAUAGGGUAGGAAUCAGCCUCCACCCUGUGGCCUAGGUACCUUUUCCGAGCAGGUCGGCUCGGUCCGGAACUGCUCCCCUCACCAUCGCCAACUCCUUCAGGGAUCCCAACCCCACCAGAACUGUGGUUUUCACCAGAGCCCGACGCAGGUCCGCCUCUAUUCCCUACAAGCUCUAGCUCGGGGGAAGGAGAAAUAACCAAAGGGCGUGGGUAUUCAAGGGUAUCCCUGCCAUGGGAAGGACCUACGCUACUGGAGGGGCCUAAGUAAUCAGUGGGUAUUGGCACAUUGAGGCCUAAGUCCCCUGACUCUUCGUCGCCCUCAUCUAUAAUCAACUUCUUUCUCCGAUUCGACAUACCGGAAUCCCAAAGGAAAACCAAAACAAACCCAAGUACACGAAUACAAAAAGGGGCAACACAGAACCCAAUCAACAACAGCCAAAGAAGAGGUUAAAGGCAAUACCUGGAACAGACUGACACUGAUAGCGCUGCCGUGACAGAGAAAACACCCAGCCAAUGGAUACUCCGGACGCUGGAAGUGUGAGCAAAGUUCAGAGAAAAUUUUGGUUAACGGCGGAGAAACGAGUAACAAGAUGAUAAUGACUCCAGUCUAGGGAUUUGAAAUGAAAAGGCGGAAAUGGAAGCAUUUAAGUGAUGGGAUAUGCCAGCUCACCCCCCAUAUAUCGAGGACUGAUAGCCCGUCGUUUCAAAUUUCAAAUACGAAGGGUCGGGAAGCGCCACGUCACCAACCGUUACAAGAGGCCAGGAUAGAUGUAAGCCCAGUACGAGAUGGACAUGCUCCUUUAGGCCCAUGCUCAAGUCGGAGUCACCCCAGAAGAAAAACGGUACCUCAGGUCCACCCCAGCAAACAAAGGACCAGAUGAGAAGUUCCCCGGUUGGCGAGAUUUGACCAUCAGUUUCUACUCUUCACUCAUUUCACUCGCCAGACCAGAAACUGGGGGACUGGUGUUGAGUACAUAAAAGUACCAGGUCGGCCACGCUACCAUUCCGCACGGAUCGCCUCGGCCAAAGUGAUAUGAGCAGAACACUGAGGCUAACAUGAGCCGACCAGAGAUGAGUACUGACCAGAGGUAUAAGCAGAGCCAGUACUCGUCCCCCAAACAAAAGGCGAAAACACGAUCUCACAGAAUCACGGCAGUUGUGCUUUCCCAGAACCGUGACGGAAGACGCAAGAUCCCACGUUUGCCCAUAAUGCAGCAGUCAGAGUCCCAUACUGUCCCCCAAAAGGCGGAACACACAAGAUCCCACGUUUGCCCAUAAUGCAGCAGUCAAAGCCCCAUACCGUCCCCCAAAAAGCGGAAAACUGGGAUUCAGAGGAAGCCUAUAAAAAGGUAGCCAACGAAGGUAAAAGGGUUAGCGAUUUUGAGAUAAAAAGAAAGAUUAAGGAAAUCCUAGAGAAAGGAAACCGACCCAAAAAGCCAUUGGAGUUGUGGCAAGUGUUCCCCAAACCUUGAUAUCUGACUUGGGCGUCGGAGGGUUUGCGCCGGGAAAACAACCGGCGUACUCUGACUUGUCUGUGUGCGCAGGAACCUCAGGAAAAGAAGCCUUACGAGGAGACCUCCCGGUAGUGGUGAAGUUGAUCGAGCAGAGAUCCUGGUCGUAUAAGGAGACCUCCUGGUCGUGGUGAAGUUGAUCGAGCAGAGAUCCUGGUCGUAGAACGAGGAGAACCAGAAUCCCGCAUCAACACUUACAUUAUCAGUGAUGUCAUGAUGAUGUGGAUGAAAGUGGUGGAAAAGAUUUUAAGCUUUUGUUUCAGAAUCGGUGUUGCUGUUGGUGCUCAUGGGCUGAAAGAAUGUGUGGGCUGGAUUUUGAAAUUUUGUGUGAUGACAUAUCACAUAAUUAGUUAUGUUAUGCUGACGUGGAUGAUGUGGUGGGACGAUGAUGUGGUGCCGAGGUGGAGAAGCCAUGUGCCCAAUUUUUGGGGGGUUUCGUUAUCUCGAAACGUAAGACAAUUUAUACCUUCACCAAUUUGGUUUUAGAAUCAUUAGCCGAAAAAGGUUAAACUUAUGGUGACUGUUGGUUGCAGCCUCGAUGCCACUGCGUUUGAAGUGUGAUUUUUGUAUUCCUCCGAUUACAUAUGGGGAGAUAGGACUCUCUGAGAAUGAAUUUCUUCCUCCUGGGUAGCAAAAGGAGCUGUGUCUUAUACCACAUCGUGCAAGAUUUUUAUAUGAAACAGAAUACACAAAGACAAAGUAGAAUAUGACAGGAGCUACAGUAUACUAUUCAACAUUAGCAAUACGUAUAUAGAAAAUUUAGAGGUGUUAUAUUCACUCACAAUCUUGCGGAGAUAAUACCUAGAUUGUGGCACGCAACUCAUGAAUAGCAGACGAAAGAGGAGAUGCAGUGGGAAGGCAGUAACCUAAGUGCAUGAGAACUGGAAAGCAAUAUCCUAAGAUCAAUUAUAGAUCUCAUAUAACAAAAACAGUGAGGCAAAGACAAUUAUUGUGAAUAAAUAUUCAUAGAACCACAUACCAGCAACAAGAUCGGAGUCAUCUGUGUAUAUAUUGAUUGCCCAUAGCUGAGUGCCUCUGACCUAAACAUAAUGAACUUACAUAACUAAGAAAUAGAGUCAUAAAAUAUGCUGUUGUAACAUCUAUCAAAAAAUUUCCAAACAAAUGGAAUUUGAUAUGUAGGGCUAUAACUAGCAACACUUCAAAAUAACUUGAAGUAGCAUGAUCUUACUUUAUGGAUCAAUACUACAAUCUUUCAGAAAAAUUAAAGUCUAAGCAAAAUUAAAACCUUAAAAAUACUAAAAUCUGGUAAAUAGACCUACAAGAAAUCCAAUGACCUCCAAGAUAUCUGAGAGACAAAUUAAUUUACAGCAAAAAAUGUUGAAGAUUUGUAAAACGAAGGCUCAUACUAUUAUUCAAAUUACAAAAGAGGAAAGAGAGCUGCCAUUAAAUGAUAAAGGCAUGCAUAAAGAAAUACAAUUAAUAUGCCUAAAAAGACGUCCACUCAAGCCUUAUAAGCAGCUUUAUGCAAAGGGAAGCCAAUUAGUUAACAAUAAAUGAAUUUCAAGGUGCAAUAAUUAUACUCCCUAACAGCAUAUAAGGUUCAUGCAUUUCUGCAAAACAUGUAAAUCAUAAGAACUUUUUCAGUACAAAUGCUAACCAAUAAUUAAAUAGAUUCUUAAAGUUUGCACAGAACGAGCACCACAUUGCUUGCUAUGCAAAAGAUGAAAGUAAAAGUUACUACUUUAUUUCAUUUUAUUUUUCAAGAGUUUUGAUAAUCAUGUGCAAAUUAGUAGUACAACUUGCUCAGUGUUAUCUCAAAAAGCUUGUUUAAAAUACCUAUUGGCACCAGUCCAAGUAGUCAAAUCCUUAUCCAUCCAUUCAUCUCUGACCUUGCCAAAAAGAUGAAAAAGAGUAUCUAUAUUCUCACUCCAAUCUUUCAUAAUCACAAGUUUUAUCUUAGACCAGUUCUUCAAUAUCCCUUCCAUUGUGAGCCCCUUGAAAACCUUGUAAAUUGUUCCAAAUCAAUUGUCAAAAGGCUAAGCAAAUGAAUAUACAAUCAACACCAUUCUUCUAAACACAAACAAAGUUUGAACGCAUGACAAGUUUUUAGCCAUUUAAUAUUCCAUCAAAUAUAAUUAGAUAACACCUACCGUGGAUUUUCAAAAAGAAGACAUUCUCAUCUUAAGCAGCAACCUUACUAGUAACACAUUUUCAUACCUUGUUUCCACCUCCGGUCACACCACCAAAAAGAUGUAGUACUGUUGGUGCUGAAAUCUGCUCGUCCUUUGCCCGACCAGAUCUUUACACCAACGUUUGUGUUAUCAACAAUGAGGAUGUCGAUUUCUCCUUGCUUCAACGAUCGCUCUAGUUUGCCGAAGUUAGACUUGUCCUUCUUUUUCUCACUAAGCCUGCGUUCACAAAAAUGGAUCAGAGACGCAGGUGGUUUUGCCGGCGUAAACCCUCCGAUGCCUAAGUUAGCACAAGGUAUUUACGGGAAAACGGUGUAAUCAAGGUUCAAAUAAUUGCUUAGAAUUGGCUUAGUAUUCGUAUUGAAAAGUGUCUGGAUACGAUUUGGCAGAGUUUUCCCUUCUCUUCGUUUUUUCUCCCUUUUCUUCAUCGAUUUCUUCCUCUUUUAUAGCCGCUGUCCCACGUUUCCGUUUACCCUUCAUCCCUCAUUUUUCGGGUGGUGGCUGCCCCUCACGGGACUCUAACUGUCACAUUAUGGGCAAUCGUGGGAUCUCGUGUCUCCCUCAACGGUUCUGGGAAAAGCGCAACUAUCGUGAUUCUGUGGGAUUGUGUUCCCGCUUUUUUAGGGGAUGGGUAUCAGCUCGGUAUAUGUCUCUGGUCGGUAUAUUCCCCUGGCUGGUAUUCGUCUCUACUCGGCCCAUGUCUGUAGAGGGCUCAUUAUCAGUGUUCUGCUCGUACCACUCGGCUGAGGUGGUCCACCCCGGCGUGGGGAUGAUGGCAUGGCCGAGCUGAUGCUCUUUAUUUAUCUAACACCAGUCCCCCAGUUUCUGGUCUUGCGAGUGAAACGAGUUGAGAGUAGAAACUGAUAAUCGAAUCUUACCGGCCCGGGGAACUUCCCUUCUGGCCUUCUGUUUGCUAGGAUGGACCUGAGGUUCCCUCUCUCACCUGAGGAGAUUUCUUUGUCCCGGGUAUGGGCCUUUAUGAAUAUAUCUCGUAUAUAUUUGGGCUUAUGCCUCGUCAGGCCUUUUGUAACGGUUAAUGACGUGGCGCUCCCGACUCUUCGUAUUUGAAAUUUGAAACGACGGGCUAUCCAUCCUCGAUAUAUGGUGAGUGAGCUGGCAUCCCCAUCACUUAAACGCUUCCAUUUCCCCCUUUUCGUUUCGAAUCCCUAGAUUAAAAUCAUCAUCAUUUUGUUAUUCGUCUCUCCGCCGUUAACCAAAUCCUUCUCUGAACUUUGCUCACACUUCCAGCGUCCGGAGUAUCCAUUUGCUGGGUGUUUUCUCUGUCACGGUAGCGCUAUCAGUGUCAGUCUAUUCCAGGUAUAGCAUUUAACCUCUUCUUUGGCUGUUGUUGAUUGGGUUCUGUGUUGCCCCUUUUUGUAUUCGUGUACUUGGGUUUGUUUUGGUUUCCUUUUGGGACUCCGAUAUGUCAAAUCGGAGAAGGAAGUUGAUUGCAGAUGAGGGUGACGAAGAAACAGAGGAUUCACACCUUGUCAAUACCCACUGAUUUUUUACAUCCCUCUAGUAGCGUAGGCCUCUCCCAUGGUAGGGAUACCCUUGAGUACCCACGUCCCUUGACCAUUUCACCUUCCCCUAAAUUAGAGCUUGUAGGAAAUAGAGGGGGACCUGCGUCGGGCUCUGGUGAGAACCACAGUUCUGGUGGGGUUGGGGUCCUUGAAGAAGUGGGUGAUGGUGAGGGAAGCAGCUCCGAGCAGAGCCGACCUCCUAAGAAGAGAAACCUUGGGGAUAUGGUGGAGGCAGAUUCUUACCCUAUCGACUACAUAGCCUGUGCCACCACCCAAACUGAUCUAUUCAAGCUUAGGAACCUCUACGACAUUCCUGAGGAGGUUCUCCUUGUAGUUCCUGGGAAAGGUGAUGUUCCUAGUCGGCCUCCGCGAGGGUAUGUGACGAUGCACCUGGAGAGUUUCAGACUAGGAGCUCGGCUGCCCCUUCAACGUUAUUUUGCCAAGAUAUUGGGGGGUAUGCACCUGGCCCCAGGUCAAUUACAUCCGAAUGGGUGGAGGGUUCUCUCGGCUAUGUUCGUAUUAUGGGAGAGGUGUGGAUCAGAGGAGCCCUCCCUUGUUGAAGUGAAGCAUUUAUACCAGCUGAGGAGUAGCCCGAAGGAAGCUGGCUGGUAUUAUUUCAUGUCGAGCUCUGCGAAGAGGAAGCCAAUCACCGGCUUCCCCUCCUCGUGCAAAAAUUGGAAGAACAAAUUCUUCUUUGCUGGGGGAAAUUGGUGUUCAGCAGUCCGUUCGUUGGGUGGUGAUAUUUACUUUCCAACGCAUUUUGUCACCCCAGGUCGUUCAUUUUUUGCCUAUAUUCUUUCUCAAAUUGCCACUUAUUGGGUUCUUUAACCUUGUUUGUUUUUUCAGAAUCGUGGGGUUUGGUUAAGGAUCUUGAAGACCGACCUUUGCUUCAGGUGGAAACUGCUCUGGUGAACGCGUCUACUUGCCAAGACCUCCUGUCACCAACAAACUUGGUCGGUUCGGGCUUAGUAGAUAUUGCCGCCGGAAUGGAUAACAAGAUCCUCAGUGCGAUGAGUAGAAAGCGUGGUCGGGCUCCAAGUAGCUCCAGCAACCCUCCUCCUCCUCCAAAGAAAACUAGCGUCGGUCCUUCCAAGGCUCUUGUUCCUGCUCUGCCCCUUCCUCCACCUCGUAAGAGUGGUGGGGAGAAAACUUCCGACAAGAGUCCUGAGGUCAGCUUCCAGUCAGGGGACCGAUCUUCUCCUCUUUCAUCUCGGGAUCAAAGUGACUACCUGAGCCUGUAUCAGAAGGAUUACAAAAAAUCAGUGGGGCCCAAGAUGGUGAAGGACAUCGAGAGUAUGACUCUCUCCGAGUUAGCUGCUUCUGUUCAAAGAGUUUCCUUCAGGCUGGCCACCAUGGUUUCGUGUUACAAGAACGGGUCCACGCGCCAUGAGAGGAAGCUUCAAGCUAACAAUCAGGAGUUGAAGAAGAAAGCUGAAUCUGCUGAUCGCUCCAAGGAGAAGCUGACUUAGCUGAACAAGCAGAUUACGGAGCUGGAGGAGAAAGUUGCGGUUGCUGAGUCCACUUCCUCCAAACUUGAGGGUGAGUUGGGUAGCCUGAAGUCUGACCUUCAGGUUACUCAAAGUGAAAGAGAUACUUUGAGGACCGCCCUUGAGGGAGAAAUCAAAUCCCUGAGCGAGUAGCUGGCUGAGGAGAAAGGCAAAUCCGUCGAUGUGGACGAUUGGCUGGAUGCCGAGUAUGACUCUGGGGUUGCUUUCUCCUAUAAGUGCAUCAUGUCUGUGCUUAAGGUAGAAUAUCCCGAGCUGGAUAUGAGCAAGCUGGAAGCUGGAGUGCAGCGGUAUAUGGAAGAGGUCGGCCAGGUAGAUAAGGAGCAGAGUGAGCAGGAUCAGGUGGAGGCUCUUUUGGAUGGGGUGUAGAAGGGGGAAGCUGGGGGACGUGCUUUCGAAGUGGGUCAAGGGUCCGUACCUCCUCCUCCCGAUAUUGCUGAUCUCCCACCUCCUGAGAUUGUUGAUCCUUUACUUCCCGAGAUUGCUGAUCCUUCAGCUGCUGGAGCCGUUGGCUCUGCUAAUCUUUAAGUCUAUUUUUGUAUAAACUCUAGAUUUGGAUUUGUUUUGUAAACAAUUGAACAUUUAUAAAAUUUUAGAUGCUCUUUAUUGGCUUUCUUGUCUGGUUUUUGCUCAUAGAUUAUUUCUGCAAAAUAAUUGGACAACGUAUCAUAUUUUGCAUGCUGGUUCCUUAAUGGACCGAGCAGGAGUAGGCAUUUACUUGCCGCAGUAGAAUUUUCGUAGAAUUAGCUGCUAGCCUUUCGUUGACCGAGCAGAAGCAGGCACUUACUUGCCUUAGUAAAAUUUCUUGAAAUUGCCUGCAGGUCUUCGAUGACCGAGCAGGAAUAGGCACUUGUUUGCCUUUGUAGAAUUUCGAAAAAUUAGCUGCUGGUCUUUCGUUGACCGAGCAGAAGCAGGCAUUUACUUGCCUUAGUAAAAUUUCUUGAAAUUGCCUGCUGGUCUUUGUUGACCGUGCAGGAAUAGGCACUUGUUUGCCUUUGUAGAAUUUCGAAAAAUUAGCUGUUGGUCUUUCGUUGACCGAGCAGAAGCAGGCACUUACUUGCCUUAGUAAAAUUUUUUAAUGGGCUUUGCUAGCAGGGGGAUUUCAUGCUGAAUUCAUCUUUAUUGAAAUUUGAAUGCGUUACAGAAAUACAGACUAUAUGCAUGUGCAACAAGCCAUCAUGCAUUCAACAGAUAUAACUUAUCACAACGAAGACUUAGUAGAGCACUUUGCUUACUGGAAAUACUUCUUCAAGUGCUCGGCGUUCCACGACCUCUUCACGUCUCGUUCAUCUGGGUACGCUAACUUAGAGGCUCCUGGUCCAGUUGCUCGUAUCACCCUAUACGGGCCUUCCCAUUUCGGGCCAAGAGCACCAUGGUUAGGAUCUCUAGUGUUUUGAUUCACCUUCCUAAGUACCCAAUCCCCUGCUCGGAAUUGCCUUAUGCGUACGUUCUUAUUGUAAUAACGCAUGAUCCUUUGCUGACACUGGGCCACCUUCUGUGAGGCCCUUUCUCUUUUCUCCUCCAGCAGGUCCAGGCUCAAGCAGAUCUGCUCCUCAUUUUGCUCCUUAUUGAAGUAUUCCGUCCGAUGUGUUCCUACUCCAAUUUCUGCUGGGACUACCGCCUCAUGACCAAAAGCUAAAGCAAACGGUGUUUCCCCUGUAGCGGUUUUGUGAGUUGUCCGGUAAGCCUACAAUACCCCUGGUAGCUCGUCAACCCAAGCUCCCUUCUUCUCUCCAGUCUAGUCUUCAGGAGUUUCUUUAUUACUUUAUUGGCUGCUUCCACUUGUCCAUUUGCCUAGGGGUGUGCGGGGGUGCAGAACUUCAGGUCCACCCCCAGGUUCCGGCAAAAUUCUCUGAAGUUGUUGUUGUCGAAUUGCCUUCCAUUGUCUGUAAUGAUGGUAUAAGGGAUUCCGUAUCUGCAGAUGAUAUUCUUCCAAAUAAAAUCCGUUGUCUUUAUUUCCGUGAUUUGGCUGAGGACCCCCAUUUCUACCCACUUGGUGAAGUAGUCUAUUGCUACAAUUGCAUGGGUUGCCGCUCCUCGGCCUUUUGGUAACGGACCAAUCAGGUCGAUUCCCCAUUGAGCAAAAGGCCAUGGGGAUGUCAUAGUGGUCAGCUUUUCUGGGGGUUGUGUAGGAAUUUCUGAGAAGCUUUGGCAGAUUUUGCAACUCUUUGCCAUCCCUUUCGCAUCCUAGUGCAUGGUUGGCCAAAAAUACCCUUGCCGGAGUGCCUUGAAGGCUAAAGUUCUUGCUCCUGAAUGAUUUCCACAUAUUCCUUCAUGAAUCUCCCUUAGUACAUAAUCUGCCUCCUCAUCAUCCAAACAUCGCAAAAGGGGCAAGGUGAAUCCUCGGCGGUAGAGCACCCCAUCGAGUAGUGUGUACCUCGCUGCUCGGCAUUUUAACUUUCUUGCUUGUCUUUUGUCCUCCGGUAAAAUGCCAUCGCGGAUGUAUGCGAGAAUCGGGUCUAUCCAGGAUUCUUCAAUGCUUACUCUCAUUACCUCUACUUCCUCCCCUACACUCGGCGAGGUCCUCACCUCUAGUGGAACUGACUUGGGUAAUUUGGGAUCUGCCGUUGCAGCCAUCCUAGCCAACAUGUCUGCUCGGUAAUUUUCAUUCCGGGAUAUCUGCUUCACCUAUACCUCUUUGAAGAGUUCAACCAUUUGCUUCACCUUCUUCAAAUAAAGCCCCAACUUCUCUUCCCUUACUUGGAAUUGGUCGCAGAGCUGAUUGCAGACUAGCUGGGAAUCUGCUCGGAUUUCUACUCUUUCAGCUCGUAGCGCGUGUGCAAGCCCGAGCCCAGUAAUGAAGGCCUCAUAUUCGGAUUGGUUAUUCGUAAGUUGAAACUCGAAUUUUACUACAUAGGAUACCUCGACCCCUUCUGGGCUCCGUAUUACCACUCCUGCUCCAGAUCCUUGUUCACUACGUGAUCCGUCUACCGUUACCAGCCACACCCCCUUUGGAUCCUCUUGUUCCACUGGUUGUUCCUCCUGGACCUCUUCCCCUGGUUCAACACGGUCAACCAUAAAAUCAGCCAGGGCUUGGGCCUUGAUUGCUCCUCGGGGCCUAUAGGAUAGAUCGAAUUCGCUCAGCUCCACGGACCACUUCACUAACCGCCCUGAUGCGUCUGGCUUUUGGAGCAUUUGCCGAAGAGGCUGGUCAGUCAUCACAAUUAUCGGGUGGGCCUGAAAAUAUGGUCGCAGUUUUUGUGCUGCCGUUAUUAAAGCCAGUGCCCAUUUCUCCAUCAAUGGGUACCUAGUUUCUGCGUCUACCAGGGCUUUACUAGUAUAAUACACAGGGUGUUGCUUCCCUUAUUCUUCUCGAACUAAUACUGAGCUGGUAGCCCACUUUGAGAUUGCCAAGUACAAAAACAGCUGGUCACCUUCUCUCGGAGUUGAUAGUAACGGGGUGUGGGCCAGAUAUUCCUUCAGCUGCCCAAACACCUCCUCACAUUCUGAUGUCCAUUCCAUCUUUUUCCCUUUCUUUAUGGUUUGGAAGAAAUUGUGGCAUUUAUCCGUGGCCCACGAGAUGAAUCGGUUUAAUGCCACCAAUUUCCCUGUAAGGCUCUGCACCUCCUUCACUGUUCGUGGUGACCUCAUUUCUGUUACUGCCCGUAUUUUUUCUGGGUUGGCUUCGAUCCCUCGGUGGCUCACCAAGAAUCCCAAAAAUUUGCCCGAGCUGACCCCAAAUGCACAUUUCUCCGGGUUUAGCUUCAUUUCAUACUUCUUCAGCAAUUCAAAGGUCUCUUCCAAGUGUUUCACGUGAUCCCUCGGUUCUUUGGACUUUGUGAUCAUAUCGUCCACAUAUACCUCCAUAGUAUGACCGAUCAAGGGCUUGAAGACCUUGUUCACCAACCUUUGAUAAGUAGCUCCUGUAUUUUUCAGGCCAAAAGACAUCACCCUGUAGCAAAACAAACCCAUGUUAGUUAUAAAGGUGGUGUUUUCCUCAUCCUGCUCGUCCAUGGGUAUCUGGUUGUAUCCCGAAAAGGCAUCCAUGAAACUGAGCAGACUAUGACCCGCUGUUGAGUCCACCAAUUGAUCUAUCUUUGGUAGGGGAAAACUGUCCUUUGGGCAUGCCUUAUUAAGAUCUGUGAAAUCUACACACAUUCUCCAUUUCCCGUUGGCCUUCUUUACCAGUACUACAUUAGAAAUCCACUCCGGUUACUUGGCCUCCCUUAUAAAUCCUGCUUUCAACAGCUUCUCCACCUCGGCGUUUAUGGCCUCGUAUCUUUCCUGGUUAAAGCAUCUCAUUUUCUGCCUUACCGGUCUCGCUCCCUUCUUGAUUGCGAACUUGUGGCAAGCUACCCGGCGAUCAAUUCCUGGCAUGUCCUCGUGAGACCAGGCGAAUAUGUCUGCAUGAGACUGCAGGCACUUUACUAGUUCGCCUUUUACUGCCCCGACUAAUCCUGAUCCGAUCUUAACCACUCUGCUCGGGUUGCUUCUGCUUACCACAAUCACUUCCAGCUUCUCAACAAGUUCUUGGCGGCCCUUUUUAGAAUCCCCUCGGUUAUCUAGAGAAGUAACCUGUAGUGUCUCCUUGGCCACUGUAGCAUAACAGCUCAUUGCCAUCCUCUGGUCGCCUUUUACUACGCCCACCACUCCAUUUACUCUGUACUUCAAUGCCAGAUAAUGCGUGGAUAUAACACAUUGGCUUAUCCUCAUGAACGGUCUCCCCAGUAUCAUCUGGUAAGGGCUUCUUUCCUCUACCACGAAAAAGUCCAACAUCAUCAUUCUUUCAAACGACUUUGACCCUACAGUAAUCGGGAGUUCAAUGAUCCCCAUGGGAGUUAACCUUCCCCCUCCAAAUCCUUUCAAGGAGGUAUUCGUCCGUUCCAGCUUCAAGUCUAAAAUUCCCAUAUCAUCUAGGGCUGACUUAAACAGAAUAUCAACUGAGCUGCCCGUGUCCACCAGUAUUCGCCGCAAUUCUGUACUGGCCACCGAUGCCUUAAUCACCAGUGCAUCCUCAUGAGGAUAUAAAACACCCUCUUCGUCGUCAUUUGUCCACAUAAUGGGAACUUGCCGCACUUUUGCCCUCUUGGGUGCUGGCAAAUUGAGAAGCAUUUCCUUGCUAGUCAUGGCAUAUCUCCCAUAGUUCUUUUGUGCCCUGUUCGAAUCCCCAGCCAACGUUGGCCCUCCUGCUAUCACACGGAUGACUGGCUGCUCACGUUCCAGAUCCCUCUCAACUCCUUCAUCCCGUGUGUAUUGUGAUUCAAUGACAUGGGACAUUCCAUCUACAUAUUCAUCCAAGUAUCGGUUCCUCACUAAAUCCUCCACUUGAAUCUUUAGGUCACGACAUUGGCUGAUAGUGUGACCGUGAGUGUCGUGGAAUUUGCAGAAUCUGCUCUUAUCCCGUCGGUGAGCAGGUUUGGUUAUAGGGGCUGGAGGGUACAGCAGGCCUCGUCCCUCGAUCCUAUCAUACAAUUCCUCCAUGGAGAUUUUUAAUGGAGUGUACUAUCUAUAUGCCACGCUUUGGUCAACCAGUUGAACUGCUCGGCUAUCAUGGAUGUCACCUCGGGCUGGUAUGGCCGGUAGCUGCUCUGGUCGUCCAGCCCUGAAAUUAGUUUCAUGUAAUGCUCUGGGAGUGUUGUGAUAGGGGUGGGCAGCCAUCUGCCUGAAUCCUUGCUGCCGCUCCGGGAACGGGGGGUGCGGAGGUUGAGCCCGGUUGUAUUGGAACUGUUGUGAUCUCGGAGCUAUGGAGUAAGGGCGGGACCGAGCUGAUAUUCCGCCCAUUACUGAAGAUUCCCCAGCUCGCUUUCCCGACCCGCUCCCGUUCGGGGCUCUCCGUUCCUUUCGUCUCAGCUCUUCCAGCUGUUCACUUUUUAUCCUUGCCGAUUUCUCUUUUUCGAUUUCUAUAUCUCGCCUCGCCUGCUCAUACCCCGCCGAGUAAUUCUGCACUAGGGGGCUUCUUAAGUUAUACCAUAAUCGGCCGAUUCUUACACAUUCUUUUAAUCCCCUCAACGCCUGCGGGUGAUUAAAAGCUCACAGAUCCAGCAUGGCUCGGUGAUAUCGUUUUACGAAAUCCCGAAGGGAUUCAUUCUCCUCCUGUUUCAUCCCUAUCAGUUCCAUCAUGUCAUCCUCUGGGGCCACUGCUCCUCGGAACUGUUAGGCCAACUCCUGGCACAUCUGCUCGUACCCCUUUAUACUUUCUCGGGGUAGCUUGCGGUACCAUUCUCGGGCUCGUCCCUCUAAUGUCAAUGGGAACACCCUGCACCUCUGAGCUGGUGUCAGCCCUUGCACACCUGUCAUGUCGUUGAAACACUCAAUGUGCACCAGCGGGUCACUUCGCCCGGAGUAUUUGAGGUCGGGGAAGCGGAAGUCUCUUGGGAUUACGGUACCCAUGAUCUCGGUUGAUAACGGAGACUCUUCAUGUAACAUUAUCCUCCAGCUCGGGGGCUUUCUCUUGCCCUGUAUCUCCUCCAUCACCUGUGCCAAUCUGCGCACCUCACCCUCCAAUUCUACAGCACGGUCAGGAUCAUGCGCAACUAUCUGAUCUCGUUCCUGCUCGGCGUUAUGCAACCGUUGUCUGAGCUCUCCUUCAUCAACAUUGGCUGCUCGGCCAUCAAUUUCCAGCACCCGUCCGGGGCGAGGUUGGUCCCUCCCUUCAUCCACACGUUCUGCUAGAACCCGACCAGUACUUCUGUGGGGGUGAAUCCCAUUAGGCUGGUCUGCCGGCGGAGGGAUUUCCUCGACCCUACGCCUCCGGAGGCUGGGUUCUGCUCCAACUUCAUCUCUUCCCACGGAGGUUUCACAAUCCCUUCGACGCUCAUCCCUCAGCUCACCCAGUAUGGCCGCGAGAGUCUCCAUUUGUUUCUCCAUCCGCUCCAGCCGAUCUUGCAUCAUCCUCUCUCGGGCUUCGUUUGCAAUUUCCCGGAGAGUGAUUGUCUCCACAGUUUCGUUAUCCUCCCUCAAAGCAUCCUUUCUUGGCACAUCCAUGUCUAAUCGUUCGUUGCUUCUCCGGUAACUACUAAUUUGGUGGUAGCUUUUUAUCUAGCUCCCCACAGACGGCGCCAAAAUGUUGGUGCUGAAAUCUGCUCGUCCUUUGCCCGACCAGAUCUUUACACCAACGUUUGUGUUAUCAACAAUGAGGAUGUCGAUUUCUCCUUGCUUCAACGAUCGCUCUAGUUUUCCAAAGUUAGACUUGUCCUUCUUUUUCUCACUAAGCCUGCGUUCACAAAAAUAGAUCAGAGACGCCGGUGGUUUUGCCGGCGUAAACCCUCCGAUGCCUAAGUUAGCACAAGGUAUUUAUGGGAAAACGGUGUAAUCAAGGUUCGAAUAAUUGCUUAGAAUUGGCUUAGUAUUCGUAUUGAAAAGUGUCUGGAUACGAUUUGGCAGAGUUUUCCCUUCUCUUCAUUUUUUCUCCCUUUUCUUCAUCGAUUUCUUCCUCUUUUAUAGCCGCUGUCCCACGUUUCUGUUUACCAUUCAUCCCUCCUUUUUCGGGUGGUGGCUGCCCCUCACGGGACUCUAACUGUCACAUUAUGGGCAAUCGUGGGAUCUCGUGUCUCCCUCAACGGUUCUGGGAAAAGCGCAACUAUCGUGAUUCUGUGGGAUCGUGUUCCCGCUUUUUUAGGGGAUGGGUAUCAGCUCGGUAUAUGUCUCUGGUCGGUAUAUUCCCCUGGCUGGCAUUCGUCUCUACUCGGCCCAUGUCUGUAGAGGGCUCAUUAUCAGUGUUCUGCUCGUACCACUUGGCUGAGGUGGUCUACCCCGGCGUGGGGAUGAUGGCAUGGCCGAUCUGAUGCUCUUUAUUUAUCUAACAAGUACUAAUUAGCUUCAACAAAUUUUUUUUUUUAAUUUCUUUUUCCCCCAAAAUAAACCUCCAUUCUGCUACAUAAAAUUAAAAUAUCAACUAAAUAAACAAAGUCUAUGCUUACUAUUAAAACACUUCCAUUUUCAGGUAGAGGCAGAUAAGAAAAGAACAUUGAAACUGAGAUAAAAUAAGAAGAGCUUACUACGCACAUUUGAUCAACAAUCCUCAAUGACGGAAUCGACGCCAUCAAAUAAGCCUAACCUAAUCUUGAAACCAUAAACUGCACUAAGCAUAGCACCAGAGCCAGAGCGUGACUAUAAAGAAGAAAAAGAAAAAUUAUAUCAACAUGAAAUUGAACUUUCGUUUUAUCUUCCAUAAGCAAGAAAUUCAACUGGAACAAUACGAAAAAUGAAAUUUGUAGCAAUCUUACAAACAUCAUACACAAAUCUCAAUUCACGACAAAUACGGGGUGAAUAACUAACAUCACCCAAUUCAUAUAUUCAAAUAAUGUAUACCCGCUCCUAACAAGCAACGUGCUACCACAAUCGAUUAGUUAUUAGAGUUAAGGUUUACUAGAGUUAAGGUUUACCACAGAGAACUGGAUGGUGUUAACUAAAUGACAAGUUGAAACGACAUCUGCAAUCGUAUUGAAUGACAUUGAACAGUAAGGUAGGGUUUAAAUGAAUUUCGGACAGAGAUAAGUUGUUGUGGUGAAUUAGGGCUUUGUGGCUGCAUUUUAUUUCGAUUGAAGGAGGGAAUUUGAGCUAGGCUUUAAAAUGUAAAUUUUCGCUUAGUUUAAGCUAGGGUUUUCUUUCAAUUGAAACAGAAGGAAGCUUUUGGGUUAUUAAAGUGAAAGACAUGGAAUAAUACAAAAAAUAAGUGAGGUUAAAGAGCAAGAAUACAAGACUUGAUUGAUUUUAGCUUGCAGUGGCCAGAGGAGAGAGAGGGAUUUAUUCAACACUUCGCCAAAAUUUGGCUAAAGUGUUUAUAUAUUUUAAGCUUUACAAAACGGUGUCGUUAAUUUAAACGGCACCAUUUAAAAUCUUGGAAGUUCACAAAACUUAAGCAUGACUUAUAUAUAUCAUUUUAUUUACGACGGUUAAAUUAUAAGUCAUGAAUAUGUCAUAGAUUCGUGACAUAUAUUCAUAUGUCACAAAUCUAUCAUAUUUUCAUGAUACACUCAUGACACAACGAUAUACGUCAUUAAAUUUGUCAUUAUUUAGUGUUUUUUCUAGUAGUGCAGGGGAAAUAACUCUCAAUACUCGCCGGGAUCAUCAUCGCACGAGUACAAUAGCGAAAAACCUCUUAAUACUCGGUGGAAUUUAACUACAUUACACAGGGUAGAAUAACUUAACUCUCAAUACGCAUGCACAAAGUCUAUGGGGAAGGGUACAUAUAUGACAAUCACAUCUCAUGACUCAAUCAAGCAUAUAAUAUGUGUACAAAUAAUCAUAACAUAAUAUUAAACAUAAAUGCUUUACGGAGUACAUAAUAGUAAUAAUAGUAUCCACUCACAGAUCAUGUUUCACUCCAGGGUUCAUUUGGGCUGUUGUGACUUUUUGGACUCGUGGAUUUCUUCUAGAAUAUAAGGUUAAAAAAUUAACAGCUAGAACUGAUAGACAAACUUAUACUACGAGGUAAAUUAAAUCAUAACUACUUAAAUUUUAUAAAUCUAUUACCCACUAAUCCAAUGGAUAUAAUUCUAACUAUCCAAUUUCAAUUCCCGUAACUUAAUUGUUUAUUUUUCUUUUCCUUCACUCUGCCUUUCUUUCCUUUCUUUUUAUUUCUUUUCUUCUUUUCUUUUCUUUUCUUUUUCCUUUUCUUUUCUCUUCCAUUUCUCUCAUUUUUUCUUCUUUUCCUUCUUUGCCUUACUUCAAAAACAGAUGCACAAAAUGAGAGCUGCUUUUAAUUCCUUCUAAUUAUAUAUAUAUAUAUGGCCACUGACUCACAAACACAAGUGAAACAGGUAGGUGAAAUCAUAAAGCAGGCAGCUGGCUGUUGCUUUUGUAAUUAGUCAUGUUUGGCUUUUUUUUUUUUUUUUUUCUAAGUGGUGCAUAACACUACCCUUUCGACACUGAAGGGUAUGUUUUGGGAGCAACCCAGCUGCCAAGGUAUUUGAUAACACCUUGCAGUUGGUUUUUUUGUAGCUCAGCAGCUCAAACAUCUUGGCAAUUGGUUUUUCGGUAGCUCAGCAACUUUUUUUCUCAGUUCUACUCUACAGUAGCAACAGUUUAAAAAAUACAGUAUCUUACUCUAAACGCACCUAAAUGGUAUGAUUACUUCAAGAUAGAGAGAUAUUGACAUGAAAAUUAUUAUAAUUAGUGAAAAAGAGCAUUGUCUACUAUUUAGAAGAUUAUUUUGGGUUUCACCAUGGUAUUGAUUUCUUAUUUUCAUUAGGGUAAAUUUUAGCCAACCUCCUCGCGAAGUGACAAUUUUCAAAUUGUCUCCCUUACUAACGAAAACAUCAAGUUACCCCUAAACAAUUGUUAUCUGCCUACUACUUUUAAUGGAUAAAAGGGUAAAACAGUAUUUUUGCAUUCCUCUAACAGUUAAAAAAACAGAAAAAAGUCAAAUCUUGAUGUGGGUUAAUUUUUAUGGGCCCAAAUCUUUCUAAGUUUUUCAAAACACACACAAAUAUUUUAAAUAUUUAUGAUAUGCCUCCCUAAUAUUUUAAAAUAUUUUUCAUUUUGCACCUAUAUGUCUAAUUUUAUUUGAACUGAUUAAAUUUAAUUUUUCAUAUUAAAAAAUUUAUUUUAAAAAUAAUUAAAGAAAUUAAUUUAAAGUUAUAAAUGGUAAAAUAAUAAUAUUUUACAUUUUUAUAUUUAUUAUUAUAAUAAUUAUUAUUCUUUUUCCUUUUGCAAAGAUAUUUAAAAAAAUAUAUGGAUGAAAAAAAAUCAAAGAUCAAAAGAAAAAUGCAACCACAAACUUAAUCUAAAGUUUCAAAACCCUUCUCACCAAAAUCAUUGUCAUUGCACACAACCCAAAACUCUUCAAAUCCUUUGCUUAUUCACCAAACUGAAAAUGAUAAACAAUAAUAAAAUAAUUCAUUCUAUUAUUAAUAAUAUGGUUAGUUCAAGAUUAAAGAAUAUUUAUAAUCUAAAAUUAAGUAAUCUCAAAUAUCAUUAUUAUUGUAAAAUUCGUGGAGUUUAGAAGUCUGCCUCUUUAUUAUUAUCAUUAUUAUUCAUUAUUAUUCUUUUUUCAUUCUGUAAAGGUAUUUAAAGAAAUAUAGAUAUAAAAAAAGGAAAAUCAAGGAACAAAAGAAAUUACUAUUGGAGUUUCACCAAACAAAUGAAAGGAGUAAGGAUGAGAAAAAUGAAAGGAAAGGAAAAAAAAUGCUACUAGAGUCAUGUACAUGAAAGAAAAAAAUGAAGAAAAAGACAAAAAAGAAGUGAGGAUGAGAAAAAAACUAAUGAAACGAAAAGAAGGAGUAAGGAUGAAAAAAAUAAAAGGAAAGAAAAAAAGUUACUGGAGUCAUGUACAUGAAAGAAAAGAAAAAAAAUGAAGAAAAAAUGAAGAAGGCAUAAGGAUGAGGAAAAAACUAAUGAAAGAAAAAAAAAGAGAGUGAGGAUGAGAAAAAAUGAAAGAAAAGNNNNNNNNNNNNNNNNNNNNNNNNNNNNNNNNNNNNNNNNNNNNNNNNNNNNNNNNNNNNNNNNNNNNNNNNNNNNNNNNNNNNNNNNNNNNNNNNNNNNNNNNNNNNNNNNNNNNNNNNNNNNNNNNNNNNNNNNNNNNNNNNNNNNNNNNNNNNNNNNNNNNNNNNNNNNNNNNNNNNNNNNNNNNNNNNNNNNNNNNNNNNNNNNNNNNNNNNNNNNNNNNNNNNNNNNNNNNNNNNNNNNNNNNNNNNNNNNNNNNNNNNNNNNNNNNNNNNNNNNNNNNNNNNNNNNNNNNNNNNNNNNNNNNNNNNNNNNNNNNNNNNNNNNNNNNNNNNNNNNNNNNNNNNNNNNNNNNNNNNNNNNNNNNNNNNNNNNNNNNNNNNNNNNNNNNNNNNNNNNNNNNNNNNNNNNNNNNNNNNNNNNNNNNNNNNNNNNNNNNNNNNNNNNNNNNNNNNNNNNNNNNNNNNNNNNNNNNNNNNNNNNNNNNNNNNNNNNNNNNNNNNNNNNNNNNNNNNNNNNNNNNNNNNNNNNNNNNNNNNNNNNNNNNNNNNNNNNNNNNNNNNNNNNNNNNNNNNNNNNNNNNNNNNNNNNNNNNNNNNNNNNNNNNNNNNNNNNNNNNNNNNNNNNNNNNNNNNNNNNNNNNNNNNNNNNNNNNNNNNNNNNNNNNNNNNNNNNNNNNNNNNNNNNNNNNNNNNNNNNNNNNNNNNNNNNNNNNNNNNNNNNNNNNNNNNNNNNNNNNNNNNNNNNNNNNNNNNNNNNNNNNNNNNNNNNNNNNNNNNNNNNNNNNNNNNNNNNNNNNNNNNNNNNNNNNNNNNNNNNNNNNNNNNNNNNNNNNNNNNNNNNNNNNNNNNNNNNNNNNNNNNNNNNNNNNNNNNNNNNNNNNNNNNNNNNNNNNNNNNNNNNNNNNNNNNNNNNNNNNNNNNNNNNNNNNNNNNNNNNNNNNNNNNNNNNNNNNNNNNNNNNNNNNNNNNNNNNNNNNNNNNNNNNNNNNNNNNNNNNNNNNNNNNNNNNNNNNNNNNNNNNNNNNNNNNNNNNNNNGGCGUUAUGCAACCGUUGUCUGAGCUCUCCUUCAUCAACAUUGGCUGCUCGGCCAUCAAUUUCCAGCACCCGUCCGGGGCGAGGUUGGUCCCUCCCUUCAUCCACACGUUCUGCUAGAACCCGACCAGUACUUCUGUGGGGGUGAAUCCCAUUAGGCUGGUCUGCCGGCGGAGGGAUUUCCUCGACCCUACGCCUCCGGAGGCUAGGUUCUGCUCCAACUUCAUCUCUUCCCACGGAGGUUUCACAAUCCCUUCGACGCUCAUCCCUCAGCUCACCCAGUAUGGCCGCGAGAGUCUCCAUUUGUUUCUCCAUCCGCUCCAGCCGAUCUUGCAUCAUCCUCUCUCGGGCUUCGUUUGCAAUUUCCCGGAGAGUGAUUGUCUCCACAGUUUUGUUAUCCUCCCUCAAAGCAUCCUUUCUUGGCACAUCCAUGUCUAAUCGUUCGCUGCUUCUCCGGUAACUACUAAUUUGGUGGUAGCUUUUUAUCAGCUCCCCACAGACGGCGCCAAAAUAUUGGUGCUGAAAUCUGCUCGUCCUUUGCCCGACCAGAUCUUUACACCAACGUUUGUGUUAUCAACAAUGAGGAUGUCGAUUUCUCCUUGCUUCAACGAUCGCUCUAGUUUCCGAAGUUAGACUUGUCCUUCUUUUUCUCACUAAGCCUGCGUUCACAAAAAAUGGAUCAGAGACGCCGGUGGUUUUGCCGGCGUAAAACCCUCCGAUGCCUAAGUUAGCACAAGGUAUUUACGGGAAAACGGUAAUCAAGGUUCGAAUAAUUGCUUAGAAUUGGCUUAGUAUUCGUAUUGAAAAGUGUCUGGAUACGAUUUGGCAGAGUUUUCCCUUCUCUUCGUUUUUUCUCCCUUUUCUUCAUCGAUUUCUUCCUCUUUUAUAGCCGCUGUCCCACGUUUUCGUUUACCUUCAUCCCUCCUUUUUCGGGUGGUGGCUGCCCCUCACGGGACUCUAACUGUCACAUUAUGGGCAAUCGUGGGAUCUCGUGUCUCCCUCAACGGUUCUGGGAAAAGCGCAACUAUCGUGAUUCUGUGGGAUCGUGUUCCCGCUUUUUUAGGGGAUGGGUAUCAGCUCGGUAUAUGUCUCUGGUCGGUAUAUUCCCCUGGCUGGCAUUCGUCUCUACUCGGCCCAUGUCUGUAGAGGGCUCAUUAUCAGUGUUCUGCUCGUACCACUUGGCUGAGGUGGUCUACCCCGGCGGGGGAUGAUGGCAUGGCCGAUCUGAUGCUCUUUAUUUAUCUAACAAGUACUAAUUAGCUUCAACAAAUUUUUUUUUUUAAUUUUUUUUCCCCCAAAAUAAACCUCCAUUCUGCUACAUAAAAUUAAAAUAUCAACUAAAUAAACAAAGUCUAUGCUUACUAUUAAAACACUUCCAUUUUCAGGUAGAGGCAGAUAAGAAAAGAACAUUGAAACUGAGAUAAAAUAAGAAGAGCUUACUACGCACAUUUGAUCAAGAAUCCUCAAUGACGGAAUCGACGCCAUCAAAUAAGCCUAACCUAAUCUUGAAACCAUAAACUGCACUAAGCAUAGCACCAGAGCCAGAGCGUGACUAUAAAGAAGAAAAAGAAAAAUUAUAUCAACAUGAAAUUGAACUUUCAUUUUAUCUUCCAUAAGCAAGAAAUUCAACUGGAACAAUACAAAAAAUGAAAUUUGUAGCAAUCUUACAAACAUCAUACACAAAUCUCAAUUCACGACAAAUACGGGGUGAAUAACUAACAUCACCCAAUUCAUAUAUUCAAAUAAUGUAUACCCGCUCCUAACAAGCAACGUGCUACCACAAUCGAUUAGUUAUUAGAGUUAGGUUUACUAGAGUUAAGGUUUACCACAGAGAACUGGAUGGUGUUAACUAAAUGACAAGUUGAAACGACAUCUGCAAUCGUAUUGAAUGACAUUGAACAGUGAGGUAGGGUUUAAAUGAAUUCGGACAGAGAUAAGUUGUUGUGGUGAAUUAGGGCUUUGUGGCUGCAUUUUAUUUCGAUUGAAGGAGGGAAUUUGAGCUAGGCUUUAAAAUGUAAAUUUUCGCUUAGUUUAAGCUAGGGUUUUCUUUCAAUUGAAACAGAAGGAAGCUUUUGGGUUAUUAAAGUGAAAGACAUGGAAUAAUACAAAAAAUUAGUGAGGUUAAAGAGCAAGAAUACAAGACUUGAUUGAUUUUAGCUUGCAGUGGCCAGAGGAGAGAGAGAGAUUUAUUCAACACUUCGCCAAAAUUUGGCUAAAGUGUUUAUAUAUUUUAAGCUUUACAAAACGGUGUCGUUAAUUUAAACGGCACCAUUUAAAAUCUUGGAAGUUCACAAAACUUAAGCAUGACUUAUAUAUAUCAUUUUUUUACGACGGUUAAAUUAUAAGUCAUGAAUAUGUCAUAGAUUCGUGACAUAUAUUCAUAUGUCACAAAUCUAUCAUAUUUUCAUGAUACACUCAUGACACAACGAUAUACGUCAUUAAAUUUGUCAUUAUUUAGUGUUUUUCUAGUAGUGCAGGGAAAUAACUCUCAAUACUCGCCGGGAUCAUCAUCGCACGAGUACAAUAGCGAAAAACCUCUUAAUACUCGGUGGAAUUUAACUACAUUACACAGGGUAGAAUAACUUAACUCUCAAUACGCAUGCACAAAGUCUAUGGGGAAGGGUACAUAUAUGACAAUCACAUCUCAUGACUCAAUCAAGCAUAUAAUAUGUGUACAAAUAAUCAUAACAUAAUAUUAAACAUAAAUGCUUUACGGAGUACAUAAUAGUAAUAAUAGUAUCCACUCACAGAUCAUGUUUCACUCCAGGGUUCAUUUGGGCUGUUGUGACUUUUUGGACUCGUGGAUUUCUUCUAGAAUAUAAGGUUAAAAAAUUAACAGCUAGAACUGAUAGACAAACUUAUACUACGAGGUAAAUUAAAUCAUAACUACUUAAAUUUUAUAAAUCUAUUACCCACAUAAUCCAAUGGAUAUAAUUCUAACUAUCCAAUUUCAAUUCCCCGUAACUUAAUUGUUUAUUUUUCUUUUCCUUCACUCUGCCUUUCUUUCCUUUCUUUUUAUUUUCUUUUCUUCUUUUCUUUUCUUUUCUUUUUUUCCUUUUCUUUUCUCUUCCAUUUCUCUCAUUUUUUCUUCUUUUCCUUCUUUGCCUUACUUCAAAAACAGAUGCACAAAAUGAGAGCUGCUUUUAAUUCCUUCUAAUUAUAUAUAUAUAUAUGGCCACUGACUCACAAACACAAGUGAAACAGGUAGGUGAAAUCAUAAAGCAGGCAGCUGGCUGUUUGCUUUUGUAAUUAGUCAUGUUUGGCUUUUUUUUUUUUUUUUUCUAAGUGGUGCAUAACACUACCCUUUCGACACUAAGGGUAUGUUUGGGAGCAACCCAGCUGCCAAGGUAUUUGAUAACACCUUGCAGUUGGUUUUUUUGUAGCUCAGCAGCUCAAACAUCUUGGCAAUUGGUUUUUUCGGUAGCUCAGCAACUUUUUUCUCAGUUCUACUCUACAGUAGCAACAGUUUAAAAAAUACAGUAUCUUACUCUAAACGCACCCUAAAUGGUAUGAUUACUUCAAGAUAGAGAGAUAUUGACAUGAAAAUUAUUAUAAUUAGUGAAAAAGAGCAUUGUCUACCUAUUUAGAAGAUUAUUUUGGGUUUCACCAUGGUAUUGAUUUCUUAUUUUCAUUAGGGUAAAUUUUAGCCAACCUCCUCGCGAAGUGACAAUUUUCAAAAUUGUCUCCCUUACUAACGAAAACAUCAAGUUACCCCUAAACAAUUGUUAUCUGCCUACUACUUUUAAUGGAUAAAAGGGUAAAACAGUAUUUUUGCAUUCCUCUAACAGUUUAAAAAACAGAAAAAAGUCAAAUCUUGAUGUGGGUUAAUUUUUUAUGGGCCCAAAUCUUUCUAAGUUUUUCAAAACACACACAAAUAUUUUAAAUAUUUAUGAUAUGCCUCCCUAAUAUUUUAAAAUAUUUUUCAUUUUGCACCUAUAUGUCUAAUUUUAUUUGAACUGAUUAAAUUUUAAUUUUUCAUAUUAAAAAUUUAUUUUAAAAAUAAUUAAAAGAAAUUAAUUUAAAAGUUAUAAAUGGUAAAAUAAUAAUAUUUUACAUUUUUAUAUUUAUUAUUAUAAUAAUUAUUAUUCUUUUUCCUUUCGCAAAGAUAUUUAAAAAAAUAUAUGGAUGAAAAAAAAUCAAAGAUCAAAAGAAAAAUGCAACCACAAACUUAAUCUAAAGUUUCAAAACCCUUCUCACCAAAAUCAUUGUCAUUGCACACAACCCAAAACUCUUCAAAUCCUUUGCUUAUUCACCAAACUGAAAAUGAUAAACAAUAAUAAAAUAAAUUCAUUCUAUUAUUAAUAAUAUGGUUAGUUCAAGAUUAAAGAAUAUUUAUAAUCUAAAAUUAAGUAAUCUCAAAUAUCAUUAUUAUUGUAAAAUUCGUGGAGUUUAGAAGUCUGCCUCUUUAUUAUUAUCAUUAUUAUUCAUUAUUAUUCUUUUUUCAUUCUGUAAAGGUAUUUAAAGAAAAUAUAGAUAUAAAAAAAGGAAAAUCAAGGAACAAAAGAAAUUACUAUUGGAGUUUCACCAAACAAAUGAAAGGAGUAAGGAUGAGAAAAAUGAAAGGAAAGGAAAAAAAAUGCUACUAGAGUCAUGUACAUGAAAGAAAAAAAAUGAAGAAAAAGACAAAAAAGAAGUGAGGAUGAGAAAAAAACUAAUGAAACGAAAAGAAGGAGUAAGGAUGAAAAAAAUAAAAGGAAAGAAAAAAAGUUACUGGAGUCAUGUACAUGAAAGAAAAGAAAAAAAUGAAGAAAAAAUGAAGAAGGCAUAAGGAUGAGGAAAAAACUAAUGAAAGGAAAAAAAAGAGAGUGAGGAUGAGAAAAAAAUGAAAGAAAAGACGAAGAGAAAUGAAAGAAGAAGACGAAGAUGGCAUUAUCAUAAUUUAUAUAUGAUGGCAUAUUUUGUAAUUUAUUUAACUAUCAUGUCUAAUUUAGAAAAACUAUCAAUUUAUUUAGGCCCAUUAAGUCAUUUCAACACUUUAGUUUUUAAUUUAUUUUUUAAUAACUAGUUAUACAUCAACAAUUUUUAUCAUUUUUCAAUAAAUUGUCACACAUCAACCUUUUUUUUUUUAUCCUCACAAUUGCCGUUGCAAGAAUAUUCUGUUAAGGUAGGGGUGUUUUUCGUACUUUUAUGAGUCAACGACGGUCAAUGAUUAAAGAUAACGAGUUUUAGGGAGUAGCUUGAUGUUUUCAAUAGUAAGGGGGACAAUUUGAAGAUUGUCACUUCAUGAAGGGGGUAGGCCGAAAUUAACCAUUUUUAUUAUCUAUCCAGCUGCUCUUGCAUUUAUUUUUCAAUAUUUUUUAAGAAAAUUGAACUUUCUCAAAAGGUGAAAUAUCUUUUUGGAGAGGACGUAAUGUUGCAACAUAUAUAGCCUAGAACUAGAAUUUAUACUCUUGAUCAAUAUUGCAGCAAAUAGUUGAGAGUGUGUGUGUGUGUAAUUAAACAUAGUUUAGCUGUUCAAUAGGCUGAACAAUUACAAUAUUAUCAUCUCCUCUUGAAUAUCUAAAAUUGUCCAAAAGAUCUCUUUAGAGCUAUUUUCAUUGCCCUUUGUCAAAUUUACAGCUUUUUAUAACAUCCGACUCUAUCAUCAUCCAAGGCAAUACCAACUUGGACUUCAAAUCUGAUUGUUUUUGCCUCUACAAGCUCAACAUCACCAUUAAAGCCUGAGUUAUUUACUGUGAAAGCCAUGAAUUCAUCCCCCAGAAUUUGUAAUAAAUUCCCUUAGACCUGCCAAGUUUUUUUAGGCAAUAAUAUCCACAUAUACAUUAAGCUUGUAUUAAUUUUCUAUAGGGGUAGUCAGUCUAAAUUGGCUUCUUUGUACUGUUUCUACGUUGUUAUAUAAUCACAUCUUGAUGUUGACAAAAAUCACUGACAAAGAAAAAAAUCCCAAACUUUUUUAUUAUUUGAAACAGACAGGAUAUAUCUAGGUUAUUAAAAUCCAAAAAAGUGCAUAGAUUGAUGCAGUGUUAUUGCCUUUAGGAGCCCCAAUAAUAUGCAUCCAUUGAGGCAUUUCAUCAAACAGUUUUGGAUUUUCAUCAAAUAGUAGGCUUGAGAAGUUUUUUCUUUUAUCAACCACUACCAAAAUCUGUUCCAUGAUCCUAACAAAGGUAGUUUGGUUUGUCUCAUUCCCAAUAGUCCCUACACCACACUAAUGGUGCGCUUACUUGUUGGGAAUGAGAAUGAGAGUUAAGAAAUGAGAAAGAAUAAUGUGUUUACUUGUUUAGAUGAAAGGUGGAACGAGAAUCAAAGUGGCUGGGUCUCACUUAAAAUUAGGAAUAAUUACUAAAGUUCCAAUUCUCAUGGAGGAAGGUGGAAAUGAUAAUCUCAUUCCCUAACGUGACCAUAUUAAACCCACUGAAAUUUUAAAAUUCUUAUUUUAUCCUUCCUUCUUCUUAUUGUUGUUGUUGUUAUUAUUAUAGUAAUUUUGUUAUUAAUAUUAAUUAUAAUAAUUAAUAAUUAUAAUAGUAUUACCAUUAUAAUAAUUAUAAUAAUUAAUAUUAUCAAAAUUAUUAUUACUAUUUAUUUACAAUAAUAAUAAUAAUAAUGACGAUGACGAUGACGAUGACGACGGCAACGAUAAUAAAUAUUAUUAACAACAAUUAUAAAAAUAAACAUCAUCAUCAUCAUAAUAAAAAAUUAAUAAUAAUAAUAAUAAUUAUUAUUAUUAUUAUUAUUAUUAUUAUUAUUAUUAUUAUUAUAAAUAAAUGAAUAAACAAUGAUAAUAAUCAACUAAGAUCAAUUUAGUAACUUGUAACAAUUCAUUCCGAUUCCAAGGUAAAGUAAGCACAUCAAUGACAAUACAAUUCAUUUCGAUUUUGAUUCCCACAGCUAAAGUCAGCAAUUGAUUAUGAUUCAUAUUUCCUACUUCGAUUCCAGCUCAUUCCGAUUACUAAUUAGUAAAUAUAACAUAAGUCCAAACGGAUAUUACAAUAAAGCUCAAAAUUAAUGUGAACAACAGAAGCUCGUCGUAUUGCCAGUGUUAGUUGGAAUACUCUAUACUUCCAAUAUUUUAUUAUAAACGUAGAGAAAUAUAUACUUGUGAUAAAAUUGUUAUCCCCCAACAGCCCCGUUUUCCUUGUCUAAGACCAAAUUUCACUUUCUUCUUUUUGUUGAAACUUUUAACUUUCUUGCCUUGUGAUUCAUAAGAAUAGAACUUUAAAAGAUAUAAAACAAUGAGCUUUUUUCUUCCGUCACAAGAUACUGUGUAAAUUUAUUUCACUUGGGCAAAAGCUAUAGAAGAAUAGUGUACUAUCUAAUUAUUUGUCUGCUUGUUUAAUUAUCUAAUUUAUUUCCCUCACAAGAUACAGUUUCAGGCUUAAGGAGAAUGUUCUUGACUGAUUGUAGCUCCUGGACAACUUUAGUUAUCUUCAUUCGAUGUUGUGGUGACUCUAUUGAACAAGCAACUCCGAUUUUGACCAUAGAAAUGAGACAUUCCAAUUUGCUGUUGAUUCUUAUGCGCCUUCUCUUAUGGUAAUUAGUACUAGCCAAAAUUUCAUCACCAUUUAGAAGUAUUGGAUCCACAAUGUUCAUCACAUGAUCAGGUAAGGCCAUUCUUGCAAAGCUAUGAAGAUUCAAGUCUCUCUUAAACAUAACAUCUGUGGGUUUUUUUGUUGUUACCAUUUCCAACAGUAAUAUUCCAUAGCUGUAAACAUCUCCAUUUGUUGACACCUCACUUCCAAGGCCAUACUCUAUCAUUCAAUAUAAGAUAUAUGAAGAAGUUAGGAGUUGCAAAAAGAAAUCAAAAAAAAAAAAUUAUGGAUUUGAAUGUAAGUUAUAACCUGGGGCUGUGUAGCCAAUUGUUCCCCUUACUCCAACAGAGCUGCUAGAAGUUGGAUUUGAGACUGCUUCAUGAAAUCUUGCUAGUCCAAAGUCACCAAUGUGAGCUGAAAAGUUUUUAUCGAGAAGGAUAUUGCUUGGCUUUAGAUCACAAUGGAGAAUUGGUUCUUGGCAGUGGUGAUGGAGAUAUUCUAGUGCGGAUGCCACAUCAAUUGCGAUACUUAUUCUCUGAAGAAGGGUGAGUUUGGGAAUUUUAAUUUCUUCAUCUCUUUGCAGAGCUGCAUCUGGAUGCAACCAUUUUUCAAGAUUCCCAUUUGGCAUGUAUUCAUAAACAAUAGCUUUAAAGUCGUUACCUUGAAAAUCAAUACUUGAGCAUGAAGUUAUGACCCUGACAAGAUUUCUAUGACGAAUAUUUUUCAAGGCUUUGCACUCAACCAUGAAACUCUUAGAGGCACCUUGGCAUUGAAGGUUAAUCACUUUGAUUGCAACAAUAGUUCCAUCUUCAUCAAGUACUCCCUUAUAUACAGAGCCAAAACUACCAACUCCAAUCAAGCGUGUUGAAGAAAACCCAUCAGUUGCUUUGAAGAGGCUUUGGUAAGACAUCUUUGGAUGUGCUUUUCUCAUCAUUGGUAUUGAAGGCUGCCUAGAAGGUCCCCUUCUCCUUUUGUGCCAAUAGAAAAUGAAAAAUGACACUAUGACUAAUCCUGAAAAGGCACUAAGAGUGAGGAAUAUUAUUUUCAGUUUUUGAGAGAUCUUUUGCCUGCUUGAUUUGUUCUCAGUGCAUUUGGGUAGUUGUAGCUCAGGUAUGCCCCCACAAAGUCUACUACAACCUAUAACUGAUAUUGCACUUGCAUUUGCAAAAAUUCCUUUCGUUGGUAGUUUCCCCUCGAAGUCAUUGAAGGAUAAGUUAAGAUAUUCCAAAGAAAGAGCCUGGAGGAAUAAUGGAAUUUGGCCAGACAAAUUAUUCCGUGAAAGAUCAGCCUUUCGAAUACCUCUUGAAGUUUUGAAAAAUGAAGGAAUGGAUCCGUGGAAGAAGUUUCCAGCCAGAUAAAUCUCUUCAAGACUAGAGCAAAGACCAAGUUCACUUGGAAUUUCACCAGAUAAGUCAUUGUUAGAGACAACAAAACUCCUCAAAGCUUUUAGAUUACCGAUCCUUGGAGGUAUAGAUCCAACGAAGUGGUUUUGGCCUAAAUCUAGUGAAUUUGAAAGAUAGGAUAUAUUGAAAAUGUCCUCUGGGAUAGUUCCACUGAGUUCAUUUUUGGACACUUCUAAAAAUGCCAAUUUUUUCAAAUUUCCUAGACUAGAAGGGAUGACUCCUGAAAAAUUGUUAUUGUUAAAGAAAAUUUGAAAUAAUAACGACAGAUUUCCUAGAGUGGAAGGAAUUUCUCCUGAGAAAUGGUUGCCACUAAAAUCCAAGCCCUGUAGGUUCAGAAGCUUACCCAUUUCUUUAGGAAUUGUGCCUGUAAAUUGGUUUUCCUCCAUCUCUAAUGAAUAUAAGUUAACAAGGUUACCUAUUCCUGAAGGGAUGCUUCCAUGGAACUGAUUAUAACCAAGGUCCAAAAUUUGAAGUUGACUUGACAGAUUAGCUAUUGAAUGAGGCAAUGCUCCUCCAAAUUGAUUUCCACCUAAACCGAGAACUCGCAAUUUGCUACAGUUGGCCAAAGAAUCCAUAAACCUCAUCUCAUCACUUUCCCCACUUCCUAAAUUACUAAAGACUAAGUUUAGGUAUGAAAGAUUCCUCAUGCCUCCAAAAUUGACUGAAAGUUUUCCAAAAAAGCUGUUAUACGCAAUUUCAAUAUAUUCGAGUUUUGAAGCAUUGGAUAGAGAUAUUGGAAUGGAUCCACUGAAGAAAUUUUGGCCGAUUUGGAACAGUUUGAGAUUAGGAAAAGCAAGGCCUAAACUUUGUGGAAGGCUUCCAUGAAUUUGAUUUCGAGACACCGAAAAAAUGGCAAGGAAGGAAAGAUUGUAAAUGGAAGGAGGGAUUAUACCAGAGAGGUUGUUUCCGCUAAUUCCAAGAGCUUCCAACUCUUUCAAUUGACCCAACGAAUCUGGAAUAUUUCCUCCAAAAGAAUUCCCAGCUAGAGACACUUUUCAGGGAUGUUAGAUUCCCGAGAAAAGGUGGGAUUCCUCCUGUCAAAUUGUUUCUGUGUAAAGCUAGUCGUUUG